rnacentral:lncRNA from 1 species
CUGUUUAACGGUGGAGAGUUUGCAUCUCGGUCAUCCAUCUAUGCAAGUCCUUCUCUUUCGUCACUAUUUCAGGCAUGGCUUGUGAUGGGUCUUUAUAUCUGAGAAAACAACCACCACACAGAUGCAACAGUCUCCUCGAGCUGAAAUUGGAGGUGGGGAACUGCAGCUUACCAUCCCACUGCCUACAGGAACCAGUUGUUCGCUCCUGUUAGCUGGGAUGCCACAACAAGCAGCACGGAAAUGCACGAGGAGCAGAGGAAGGAUGUGGUCCAUCCGGGACAGGCUGAGCUCUUAUGCUGAAGAUCGCCACCCAGUGGGGACACGGGAAAUUCCAGCCCAGGGUGCCCAGCUGUGACCCAAUGAGGAAAAGCCUGUGGAUGGGUGAGUCAGGAGAGGGGAAGAGUCUAGAAGCGCCCAAGGAAGGCGAAGGCAAGCCCACCAAAGACUGAGCUACAUUACCUGAAGGCAAAGGACAGGCCCACAAAGAAACAGAGACUCACAGAGCAGAAGCAUUGCAUUUUCACAAAGGUGAAAGAAGAUCAAAACAUCUGCUAUCUGUAGGGUUUAACAACAAACACAGAAGGCAAACCCCUUGGUGAAUAAUAAGUGGCCAGAGAUACAAGGAAAGUGAAGCAAGGGCCAGCUGAGGGGCCCCACACUGACCCGACACCUGCUGGGGCUCAGGGUUUCUGCCUCUGCUGGCAAGGUCAUUGCAAGCUACUUUUCUCCCUGGUGACUCGGUAGAUGCUUUUCUUAAUUAAUGGUUCUGAUUUAUGUUUAACUCGACCACAAUUCUUCAAGGAGGGACCACUGAUCAUGGUCACAAGCUUUAGCAACUCUGUCUUAGCACUUACUCUGUCUUUUCAGAUAAGCUACUUUGGCGGGAGUCCCCGUGGUGUGUUGCUGAUAGGCAGCAAACAGCAGGCGGAAGAGUUUUGCUCUCUGGCUCUGCCACCACUGUGAUUAGUCGGUGUGCAUUCCUGCCCAAUCUCGUUGGAGUUUGAAUUACACAUUGUUUGCUAAGCCCUAUGCUUGGCCAAAGAGGGACUUAAUGGCACUUAGGAAAAAAGAAAUGAUCAAAUGACACGGGGUCUCCAAAGCAUCAUUAUCUCUCUGAUGAGUGACACUUUAAGCCUCACUAUGCUUCUGGGUCCUUUGAUGAUGGCGCUCCCCACAAGGGCUCACUUGGAUGACAGUUUCUGAGGACUGUGCAUAAAGAAAGCUGGAGAGCUGGGGUUCGUUCACAGCCCAAUUUCUGACAGGAGGGAAGGGGCUUUCUCUGAAGGUGACAAUAUGCUCCAGAUAAUGGUAGCUUCAGUACACUGAGGGAAGAAAUCCAAAUAAGCCCGAAGUGUCACUGAAACAUUGAUACGUUUGUAUUUCUUCUCUAUUUAGGAAAUUAUUUCGCUGUAUAGUUUUAAAAUCUCAUAGGGAGAAAAAAUAAUUAAGCAUCGAUGGAUGUACUUCUCCAUCUGGUCUUCAGAAAAUAAAUAUUAAAAUGCACAUGGGAGAAAAUAUAGC